rnacentral:ncRNA from 1 species
UUAAUAUUUAUAGCGCCAGAACUUAGGGCCUACUUAAGUUGACGAGGAUGGGGAGUAUCGAAAAUUCGGCGGAUGCCCCACGGUACACACUACCGUUAAAGUUUAGUAAAACUCAGGAAGUGAUUUCUGCAACAACACUAAACAGGUGUAUUC